GGAUGUGAGGGCGAUCUGGCUGUGACAUCUGUCACCCCAUUGAUCACUAGGGUUGACUCAGAUAUCUGGCUGGCUUGGCAGGUGUCCCCUUCCUCCCUCAUUGCUCCAUGUGCAUCCGUCCCGAAGCUGUGCACUCAGUUGAAGAGAACGACCAUACCUGAUAGAGGAGGACCAUUCUUUGGUCAAGGGUAUACAAGUUGCUGUGCUCCCCUAGUUAGAACCUCCAAACAAGCUCUUAAGGUCUGUUUUUUUUU
rnacentral:sRNA from 1 species